GAUGAACGCUGGCGGCGUGCCUAAUACAUGCAAGUCGAGCGAACGGACGAGAAGCUUGCUUCUCUGAUGUUAGCGGCGGACGGGUGAGUAACACGUGGAUAACCUACCUAUAAGACUGGGAUAACUUCGGGAAACCGUAGCUAAUACCGGAUAAUAUUUUGAACCGCAUGGUUCAAAAGUGAAAGACGGUCUUGCUGUCACUUAUAGAUGGAUCCGCGCUGCAUUAGCUAGUUGGUAAGGUAACGGCUUACCAAGGCAACGAUGCAUAGCCGACCUGAGAGGGUGAUCGGCCACACUGGAACUGAGACACGGUCCAGACUCCUACGGGAGGCAGCAGUAGGGAAUCUUCCGCAAAGGGCGAAAGCCUGACGGGGCAACGCCGCGUGAGUGAUGAAGGUCUUCGGAUCGUAAAACUCUGUUAUUAGGGAAGAACAUAUGUGUAAGUAACUGUGCACAUCUUGACGGUACCUAAUCAGAAAGCCACGGCUAACUACGUG
rnacentral:rRNA from 1 species